UACGUAGGGUGCGAGCGUUAAUCGGAAUUACUGGGCGUAAAGCGUGCGCAGGCGGUUGUGCGAGACAGAUGUGAAAUCCCCGGGCUCAACCUGGGAAUUGCAUUUGUGACUGCACGGCUAGAGUGUGUCAGAGGGGGGUAGAAUUCCACGUGUAGCAGUGAAAUGCGUAGAGAUGUGGAGGAAUACCGAUGGCGAAGGCAGCCCCCUGGGAUAACACUGACGCUCAUGCACGAAAGCGUGGGGAGCAAACAGG
rnacentral:rRNA from 1 species